GGGUUGUGAGGUUAAGCGACUAAGCGUACACGGUGGAUGCCCUGGCAGUCAGAGGCGAUGAAGGACGUGCUAAUCUGCGAUAAGCGUCGGUAAGGUGAUAUGAACCGUUAUAACCGGCGAUUUCCGAAUGGGGAAACCCAGUGUGUUUCGACACACUAUCAUUAACUGAAUCCAUAGGUUAAUGAGGCGAACCGGGGGAACUGAAACAUCUAAGUACCCCGAGGAAAAGAAAUCAACCGAGAUUCCCCCAGUAGCGGCGAGCGAACGGGGAGGAGCCCAGAGCCUGAAUCAGUGUGUGUGUUAGUGGAAGCGUCUGGAAAGGCGCGCGAUACAGGGUGACAGCCCCGUACACAAAAAUGCACAUACUGUGAG
rnacentral:rRNA from 1 species